CCGGAAGGGAACCGACGGCGCAGUGCCAUC
rnacentral:sRNA from 1 species